UCUCUUGAGAGCGGCGGACGGGUGAGUAAUGCCUAGGAAUCUGCCUGGUAGUGGGGGAUAACGUUCGGAAACGGACGCUAAUACCGCAUACGUCCUACGGGAGAAAGCAGGGGACCUUCGGGCCUUGCGCUAUCAGAUGAGCCUAGGUCGGAUUAGCUAGUUGGUGGGGUAAUGGCUCACCAAGGCGACGAUCCGUAACUGGUCUGAGAGGAUGAUCAGUCACACUGGAACUGAGACACGGUCCAGACUCCUACGGGAGGCAGCAGUGGGGAAUAUUGGACAAUGGGCGAAAGCCUGAUCCAGCCAUGCCGCGUGUGUGAAGAAGGUCUUCGGAUUGUAAAGCACUUUAAGUUGGGAGGAAGGGUUGUAGAUUAAUACUCUGCAAUUUUGACGUUACCGACAGAAUAAGCACCGGCUAACUCUGUGCCAGCAGCCGCGGUAAUACAGAGGGUGCAAGCGUUAAUCGGAAUUACUGGGCGUAAAGCGCGCGUAGGUGGUUUGUUAAGUUGGAUGUGAAAUCCCCGGGCUCAACCUGGGAACUGCAUUCAAAACUGACUGACUAGAGUAUGGUAGAGGGUGGUGGAAUUUCCUGUGUAGCGGUGAAAAUGCGUAGAUAUAGGAA
rnacentral:rRNA from 1 species